AGGCGCUGGAGUUGGGGCAAAAGGGAGAGGGAGGGAGCCCGAAACUCGCGGCGGCGGCCAAUCGGCUCUCACUGCCGUCCAAUCGCAAGACCUAGCUGCAGUGUGAUUGGCCUUCGGCCCCGGUCCCAGGAGCGGGGAGAUGCCUGACUCGGGUCGUGGCUGACGACCCGACGGUUCGCCUGCGGCCGCCUCCAACAACGGUGGAAACCGCACACAGGGACCGCGGGCCCUCGGUGCAGCAAAUCGGAAAGUGCUGCGGUCGGCGGCCCUGGGCUCUGAGCGCUCAAGCGAGCAGAGGGGUGGAGGGGCUCUCCCCACCCACAGGAGGCUCUCGGCGGGGCGCAGCCAAUUCUGCGCGCCCAAGGCUCCCCUCUGCCGUGGAUCGCGUGUGCCGAGUGUUGGCCUCUUCCCCGAAAGGGCCAGACGGACCAAGGGGGCCUUCCCAGCCGGCUGCAAGCUCUCAGACGCUAAAAUGGGAACAAAGCUUCCAGAAAGGCAGCGCCUUUGGGCGGCCGCGCCCCGCCCAGCCGCGGGGGCCAUUGAUACAGAGGCUUGCUGCGCUUGGUGUGCGCGGCCCGGCCGGGCCUCUGGAAACGCCCAUGAGAAAUGAGCUCAUGCUGGAUGCGCGCGCUCCUUGGGCGCAACUGCCCAGCGCAAAACGGGCCCCGAAAGCAGGUGAGUGGAGGACACUUCAAUCUAAAGUGAUCUUAAAGGAGGAGUAGUAGGAUUUGAAGAUGAAGAAAGAAGAGGGGAGGUAAAUUACUUUCCAUCACUUCAAUUUCAACCCAUCAGAUAAAACCUCUCUUUAGUAAACCUGCAUGUGGGUGGAGCUGUAACAGCAAUUAAGGACAGUGUGACUCUGUUCUUCUGACUUUGGGAAAACCAGUUUGGCUGGAACAAAAAGCUGAUAGAGAAGACUAAUGGAAGAUAAGGUUGAAAAGGCUGGAGUGCAAUGGCGUGAUCUCGGCUCACCACAACCUCCACCUCCCAGGUUCAAGCAAUUCUGCCUCAGCCUCCCGAGUAGCUGAGAUUACAGGCAUGCGCCACCACGCCCGGCUAAUUUUGUGUUUUUAGUAGAGUGAGGGUUUCUCCAUGUUGGUCAGGUUGGUCUUGAACUUCCGACCUCAGUUGAUCUGCCCGCCUUGGCCUCCCAAAGUACUGGGAUUACAGGCAUAAGCCACCGCACCUGGCCUGGUUGCCCAUUCUUUAUGGUCGUUUCUUGAUGAUAUGCUAACCAAGGAGUGGAUUAAUCAUGCCUCCCCUUUUUGGACCACAUAGGGUCUAAACUGUCAUGGCACAUUUGUAAACUGUCAUGGCACUGGUGGGAGUGUAGCAGUGAGGACGACCAGAGGUCACUCUCGUCGCCAUUUUGGUUUUGGUGGGUUUUGGCCAGCUCCUUUACUGCAACCUGUUUUAUCAGCAAGGUCUUUAAGACCUGUAUUUUGUGCUGACCUCCUAUCUCAUCCUGUGACUUAGAAUGCCUUAACUGACCAUCUGGGAAUGCAGCCCAAUAGAUUUCACCCUCAUUUUGCCCGGCUCCUGUUUAAGAUGGAGUUGCUCUGGUUCACAUGCCUCUAACAAAUCCUUUUAGUUUUUCAUGCUUGUCACAUGUUUACUUCUAAGGGUAUAAUCAUGUGGUUUACUAUAUUAUUACCGAUUAGAUUAUUUUGAACUACUUCAAUUUUAUUUAUUUUACCUCAUUUCCAUUCACAUUUUUUGAAAAGAGCUUUUUUAUACAAGAGUGUAAAUAUUUUCACAUUGAAUAAAUGAAUUGAAAACAGUA
rnacentral:lncRNA from 1 species